rnacentral:rRNA from 1 species
UACGGGGGGGGCAAGCGUUGUUCGGAAUUACUGGGCGUAAAGGGCGUGAAGGCGGCCAAAUAAGGCGGAUGUGAAAUCCCCAGGCUCAACCUGGGAACUGCAUCCGAUACUGGAUGGCUUGAAUUCGGGAGAGGGAUGCAGAAUUCCAGGUGUAGCGGUGAAAUGCGUAGAUAUCUGGAGGAACACCGGUGGCGAAGGCGGCAUCCUGGACCGGUAUUGACGCUGAGGCGCGAAAGCCAGGGGAGCAAACGGG